AUUGAACGCUGGCGGCAGGCCUAACACAUGCAAGUCGAACGAGUGGCGGACGGGUGAGUAAUGUCUGGGAAACUGCCUGAUGGAGGGGGAUAACAACUGGAAACGGUAGCUAAUACCGCAUACCAUCGGAUGUGCCCAGAUGGGAGUAGCUAGUAGGAGGGGUAAAGGCUCACCUAGGCGACGAGCCCUAGCUGGUCAGAGAGGAUGACCGCCAACACUGGAACUGAUACACGGUCCAGACUCCUACGGGAGGGAGCAGUGGGGAAUAUUGCCAAAUGGGCGCAAGCCUGAUGCAGCCAUGCCGCGUGUAUGAAGAAGGCCUUCGGUUUGUAAAGUACUUGCAGCGGGGAGGCGUUACCCGCAGAAGAAGCACCGGCUAACUCCGGGCCAGCAGCCGCGGUAAUUC
rnacentral:rRNA from 1 species